AUCGCAACAGGGCAAGAGCAGGAGGCCAGUCAUGUUUUUCGACAAUGUGGUGAUCGCCGGAGUGCUGACUGUCGGCCUCAUGGUUCUGUUUUUCGCAGGGUUUGGAUUCUUUAUCUGGAAAGACGCGAAUAAGCGCAAGAAGCCUUAAGUCUUUCCAGGGCAACGAGCACGCAAGGCAUUUUGGGCAACUUCGGUUGCCCUUUUUUUUG
rnacentral:sRNA from 16 species